GAUGAACGCUGGCGGCGUGCCUAAUACAUGCAAGUCGAGCGAACAGAUGAGGAGCUUGCUCCUCUGACGUUAGCGGCGGACGGGUGAGUAACACGUGGAUAACCUACCUAUAAGACUGGGAUAACUUCGGGAAACCGGAGCUAAUACCGGAUAAUAUAUUGAACCGCAUGGUUCAAUAGUGAAAGACGGUUUUGCUGUCACUUAUAGAUGGAUCCGCGCCGCAUUAGCUAGUUGGUAAGGUAACGGCUUACCAAGGCAACGAUGCGUAGCCGACCUGAGAGGGUGAUCGGCCACACUGGAACUGAGACACGGUCCAUACUCCUACGGGAGGCAGCAGUAGGGAAUCUUCCGCAACGGGCGAAAGCCUGACGGAGCAACGCCGCGUGAGUGAUGAAGGUCUUCGGAUCGUAAAACUCUGUUAUUAGGGAAGAACAAAUGUGUAAGUAACUAUGCACGUCUUGACGGUACCUAAUCAGAAAGCCACGGCUAACUACGUG
rnacentral:rRNA from 1 species